UACAGAGGGGGCAAGCGUUAUUCGGAAUUAUUGGGCGUAAAGGGCGCGUAGGUGGCCUGGCAAGUGGAUGGUGAAAUCCCUCGGCUUAACCGAGGAACUGCCAUCCAGACUGCUUGGCUUGAGACCGGGAGAGGUGAGUGGAAUUCCCAGUGUAGCGGUGAAAUGCGUAGAUAUUGGGAAGAACACCGGUGGCGAAGGCGGCGACCUGGUCCGAUACUGACGCUGAGGCGCGAAAGCGUGGGGAGCAAACAGG
rnacentral:rRNA from 1 species